UACGGAGGGUGCAAGCGUUAAUCGGAAUUACUGGGCGUAAAGCGCACGUAGGCGGUGAGUUAAGCCAGCUGUGAAAUCCCCGGGCUCAACCUGGGAAUUGCAGUUGGAACUGGCUCGCUAGAGUAUGGUAGAGGGGUGUGGAAUUUCAGGUGUAGCGGUGAAAUGCGUAGAUAUCUGAAGGAACAUCAGUGGCGAAGGCGACACCCUGGACCAAUACUGACGCUGAGGUGCGAAAGCGUGGGGAGCAAACAGG
rnacentral:rRNA from 1 species